UUCUCCUUUACACUCAGGGUUGCUCUCCUCUUCCACAUGCUAGGAUGGCAUUGUCUACUCCCACCAACCUCACGGAGUUGUUGCAAAGUAACUGAACUGUGUACAGUGUUCAAUUUUGAAAUAAGGACUAGGGGGAUACAUGGCAACAUCUUAACAGGGAUUUUUUUCCUGGGUGCAAAAAGCAUAGUUUGUUUUAAAAGCAAGUAAGUGUGAACAUCAACUAACAGAGCAUGAGAAAUGGUAAAUUCCUUGUGGAUGACCUGUUGCAUCCAGCACCUGUGCAAACAGCUGGACCCGGGAGCCAUCUGCCCAGUUUCUCCAGCUGAAACUCUUGAUGCUGAAUCUCCAGGGAACUCACCCGUUGGCACGGUGCACGGUAAACAGGGCUCGAGGCCUGGAGGAUAUCACACAUGAAAAAUAAGUAAUUGAGGGGAGGGAGACAAACCAUAAGUGACUCUUAAUCUCACAAAACAA